GACGAACCGAGCGACCGUUAUUCGGAAUCACUGGGCUUAAAGGGCGCGUAGGCGGGCCAGCCAGUCUGUGGUGAAAGCCUCCAGCUUAACUGGAGAAGUGCCGUGGAUACUGCUGGCCUCGAGGAGGAUAGGGGCAUCUGGAACGGUCGGUGGAGCGGUGAAAUGCGUUGAUAUCGACCGGAACUCCGGUGGCGAAGGCGAGGUGCUGGGUCCUUUCUGACGCUGAUGCGCGAAAGCCAGGGGAGCAAACGGG
rnacentral:rRNA from 1 species